UGCGUAGGCGGCUUUGCAAGUCUGAUGUGAAAUCUCCAGGCCCAACCUGGAAACUGCAUUAGAAACUGCGGGGCUAGAGGCUUGGAGGGGGGAACUGGAAUGCUCGGUGUAGCAGUGAAAUGCGUAGAGAUCGAGCGGAACACCAGUGGCGAAGGCGAGUUCCUGGACAAGUCCUGACGCUGAGGCACGAAGGCCGGGGAGCAAACA
rnacentral:rRNA from 1 species